GCAACAUUUGGACCGUCGGUCCACCGAGGAAUGUUACCCGCUUGGUCGAAAAUCUUCCCUUUGCCGU
rnacentral:pre_miRNA from 1 species